rnacentral:rRNA from 1 species
AACGCAAUAAGUAUUCCGCCUGAGUAGUACGACCGCAAGGUUGAAACUCAAAGGAAUUGACGGGGGCCCGCACAAGCGGUGGAGCAUGUGGUUUAAUUCGAAGCAACGCGAAGAACCUUACCAGGUCUUGACAUCUCCUGAAGUAUCCAGAGAUGGAUAUGUUUCCUUCGGGAACAGGAAGACAGGUGCUGCAUGGCUGUCGUCAGCUCGUGUUGUGAAAUGUUGGGUUAAGUCCCGCAACGAGCGCAACCCUUAUCCUUUGUUGCCAUCGGUUAGGCCGGGAACUCAAAGGAGACUGCCGUUGAUAAAGCGGAGGAAGGUGGGGACGACGUCAAGUCAUCAUGGCCCUUACGACCAGGGCUACACACGUGCUACAAUGGCGUAUACAAAGGGAGGCGACCUCGCGAGAGCAAGCGGACCUCAUAAAGUACGUCUAAGUCCGGAUUGGAGUCUGCAACUCGACUCCAUGAAGUCGGAAUCGCUAGUAAUCGUGAAUCAGAAUGUCACGGUGAAUACGUUCCCGGGCCU